UACGUAGGUGGCAAGCGUUAUCCGGAUUUAUUGGGCGUAAAGGGAACGCAGGCGGUCUUUUAAGUCUGAUGUGAAAGCCUUCGGCUUAACCGGAGUAGUGCAUUGGAAACUGGGAGACUUGAGUGCAGAAGAGGAGAGUGGAAUUCCUAGUGUAGCGGUGAAAUGCGUAGAUAUUAGGAGGAACACCAGUGGCGAAGGCGGCCUGCUGGGCUUUAACUGACGCUGAGGCUCGAAAGCGUGGGUAGCAAACAGG
rnacentral:rRNA from 1 species